UACGAAGGGGGCUAGCGUUGCUCGGAAUCACUGGGACGUAAGCGCACGUAGGCGGAUUGUUAAGUCAGGGGUGAAAGUCCUGGAGCUCAACUCCAGAACUGCCUUUGAUACUGGCGAUCUUGAGUCCGGAAGAGGAGAGUGGAAUUCCUGGUGUAGCGGUGAAAUGCGCAGAUAUCAGGAAGAACACCCGUGGCGAAGGCGGCUCUCUGGGACGGUACUGACGCUGAGACGCGAAAGCGUGGGGAGCGAACAGG
rnacentral:rRNA from 1 species